CAAAUGGGUUUAUAAGAUCAAGUAUAAGGCUGAUGGUAGUGUUGAAAGACACAAAGCCAGACUUGUUAUUAGAGGGGAUACUCAAGUUGAAGGGGUGGAUUUUACUGAUACUUUUUCUCCUGUGGUUAAAAUGUCCACUGUGAAGUGUCUUAUUGCAGUGGCUGUUAAGAAGCAUUGGACACUUUUUCAACUUGAUGUUAACAAUGCAUUCUUGCAUGGUGGUUUGGAUGAGGAGGUUUAUGCGAAGCUUCCCCCAGGUUUAUCCGUCUCUGUAUCUUCUUCUGACUCUGUCUCUUCUCCAUCUCCUCCUCUUGUAUGUAAAUUGAAAAAAACCCUAUAUGGGUUGAGGCAGGCAUCCAGACAUUGGUAUGCCAAGUUGUCCUUUGCCCUUUAUUCCAGAAGCUAUAGUCAUUCUAUGAAUGAUUAUUCUCUGUUUAUCAAAGGCCAGCCUGGCUGUUUGGUUAUUGUAGCAGUCUAUGUGGAUGACAUUAUCAUCACUGGGGAUGACAAUGAUGAGCUAUCUACCCUGAAGCUGUUUUUGGAUGAUCAGUUCAGGAUCAAAGACCUUGGGUCUUUGCAUUAUUUUCUGGGCAUUGAGAUGUCUGUAGUUCCUGGUGGGAUGCGCUAUCUGCCCUGAAGCUGUUUUUGGAUGAUCAGUUCAGGAUCAAAGACCUUGGGUCUUUGCAUUAUUUUUUGGGCAUUGAGAUAUCUGUAGUUCCUGGUGGGAUGCUCCUCAAUCAGCAUAAAUAUGUUUCAGACCUGUUGCAUCAGUUUGACUGUAUGAAUGUUUCUUCGGUUGUUUGUCCUUUGGAUCUUAACGUGAAACUCCAUGCUGAUUCUGGUGACAUUCUUUCCUCUCCUGAACAAUAUAGAAGCAUUGUUGGUAAGCUCUUAUUUCUGACUCACACCAGGCCUGACAUCUGCUUUGCUGCUCAGCAUCUGAGUCAAUAUUUGAAGUGUCCCAGAGUCCCACAUAUGACUGCUGCUUUACAUGUUCUCAGAUAUCUAAAAGGGUCUAUGCAUUUGGGUUUGUUCUAUUCUGACUGUUCUGAUUUGUCUGUCCAUGCCUAUUCUGA
rnacentral:lncRNA from 1 species